rnacentral:lncRNA from 1 species
UUCUUUAUAAUUAGAACCACACAUGAAGUCUCAGGAUUAAUAAAACAGAAACUCAUUUCCAGUUACAGGAGCAGUGAGCACGGGAAUAUCAUGGACAAUCAGAGCUUUGAACCGAAGACCAUGUGACGCACAUACUCCAGAGCUGAUGGUUUCUGCCUGUGCCCAAAGAGUACAGUUCUCCCUCAGCUGGUGAUACUGUGAAGUCCUUGAAGAAAACAAAUGUUGCCUGCUCACCGUGGAAUAUUCAACAAUUAAUUGGCUAGUUAAAUUAAAAUAAAUUUGAUUUUGAG